CCAAAUUGUAAUUUCCUGUUUCUGCUUCAUCAACCGCGCGGAGGAGGAUACGGGGGUAAAGUGAAAAGACCGAACCACUACCUAUUGAAUAGAUAAAGGCGUUGUAAGGGCGAGGAAUAGACUUUGAGGCAUCUGACUGUUGAAGAGUAG